AAAAUUCUGUUGGUGGCUCGAUGCAGUCGUGUGGUAGCCAUUUUGGUUUAUAAUACAACAGUAUUCACUAUUCAACAAUAAUACAUGUCGACUAUUGAGUACGCUACUUUAAACGUCAACGUCGCAAUGGUUAAUAAUCAAGAUUGCUAACUUGUCUCUGUCGUUCUGACUCUUGGCGUUCGUGGAGAACUGGCUAGUCGCUUGUAGUCAUUAAUCAUUAUCGUUUUUCAACCUCAUCGGUUAUAGAAGUUAUAAAUACGAAAAUAUGUCCAAACACCGUGAAUGGGAUCCAACUUGUAAAGUAUAUAUUGGUAAUUUAAAAAGCAAUGCCAAUAAAUACGAAAUAGAAGAUUUGUUUACCAAAUAUGGUCCUUUGAAAAAUAUUUGGAUAGCAAGAAAUCCACCAGGCUUUGCAUUCAUAGAAUAUGAAGAUCCACGUGAUGCCGAAGAUGCAGUCCGAGGUUUAGAUGGAACAAGAUGUUGUGGAUCCAGAAUUAUUGUUCAAAUGUCAACUGGGAAACGCUCCAGAGAUAAAUCACCUGCUUAUAGGUUAUUUAUUAUAGAUUCAACUUUAUUGAAUUCUUCAUCAUCACCACUACCACAUCCACUACUACCAUCACCUUUCAACACAGUACUACCAACUUGAGCCAGCAACAAACAACAGGGGGUGUGCGAGAUUCUUGAAUCCCUACUAGGCAUUCUAUUUUCAUGAAUCAUUCAUCAUUUGGUUUUAGUUGUCAAAUCCCUCGAUUUUUAUUGCAGUACAAAACAACAACUUAGCAUUUGAAAUUCAUCUUCCUAGCUACUGCUGCAUGCUUUGAUUACAUUGUUUUUGCAUCGCUCAUCGUUCAUCAUUAUUCUGGUUAUAUUUUAGAGGGCGAUCUUCACCUCCGCGGCGUACUUAUCAUUCAUAUUCACGUUCACCAUCAAGGAGUCGUUCACCAGUUUAUAGAAGUAG